GCCUAACACACGCAAGUCGAGCGGCUGCGCGAUAUGUAGCAAUACAUAUUGGCGGCGAGCGGCGGACGGGUGAGGAACACGUAGGAACCUACCCUCGAGUGGGGGAUAACCAAGGGAAACUUUGGCUAAUACCUCAUGAACUCGAGAGAGCAAAGCUGCCGCAAGGUGGCGCUCGAGGAGGGGCCUGCGUCCGAUUAGCUAGUUGGUGAGGUACGAGUCCACCAAGGCGAUGAUCGGUAACGGGUCAGAGAGGAAGAGCAGGCACACGGGGACUGAGACGCGGCCAAGACUCCUACGGGAGGCCGCAGUGGGGAAGAUUGGACAAUGGGGGCAAGCCUGAUCCAGCGAUGCCGCGUGAGUGAAGAAGGCCUUCGGGUCGUAAAGCUCUUUAGGUUGGGAAGAAGGGUGAGGGAGGAAAUGCCAACACUUUGACGGUACCGACAGAAUAAGCACCGGCAAACUCUGUGCCAGCAGCCGCCGUAAUAC
rnacentral:rRNA from 1 species